rnacentral:lncRNA from 1 species
GCCGCAGUAUCCAAGCUAGUGGCGGUCCCAGUGCUAUCCUCGCUGUGAGUGGAGCACCGGUCAUCCACAGAGUCAGGAAAGGUGAGGCCUGGAAGCUGGACACCUGCGAGGCCCACAUCUGCCUCGUGGGAUACCGACAGCACCUUGAUGCUGGCCUCUAAUGCCUCUUUCUCCUUCAGCAGGCUUUUAUAGGCACGGACCACAUCCUUGAGCCGUGCCUGGUACUGGAGAAGCUGCUUCUUCUGGGUCUCUAUAGUCUCCAGCAAGUCCUUCUUGCUCGGGCCGCCCCCGAAAUUCAUCCCAAACUUCUCCAUGGAGGGUCUGAACGGAUUGCCCCACGUCAGCUUUCCAGCAGAACGGGAGAGGGCCGUGAAGACGCAGGCGGGGGCUUAAAGAAACAGCGAGCGGGCUGUCCGGCGGCGGGCCGCACACCUACUCCACCUAGUUAUCCCGGACCUAAUGCGGAACGGCCGGACGGACUGGCGAAA